rnacentral:rRNA from 1 species
AUGGGUUUUGUUAAGUUGAAUAUUGAUGUUUUUUAUCAUGAUCUGCUUAAGGACACAGUUGGGGCUGUCCCCAGAGAUGACAAAGGACGAUUCAUCAUUGGCGGAAAUUGGAAGCUUCAUUGGUGUGCUGAUGUAUUGACAACAAAAGCGUUGGCUCUAAGGUUUGGCUUAUUUCUUGCACAGAAGGUGGGAUGCAAUCGUCUUAUUACUAACUCCAAUGAUACGGAAGUCAUUAAUACAAUGAAGAAUGGAGGACAAUCUACGGGAGCGGUGGCGGCAGUAUUCGAUGAUUGUUGUUUUAUGACAUGUGAUUUUCCCCUUACUAGGUUUGAACAUCGUAAUAGGGAAGUAAAUAAGAUAUUAAGAUGGCUCAUGAACUUGCUAAAAAAAAUCAUGACAAGGGAUUGCUCUGAGGAGCCUAUGGAUGAUAUUGUACCUUUUGUUAUUGACGAUGUGACCAUUAUUUCCAAUUAA